CCUAUCGGCCUUGUUUUGGGUGCCCUUCACAGGGUGAAACGGGAAACCGGUGCGUCAGUCUGCAUGUAUCCAUGCCUGAUCAGUCCGGUGCUGCCCCCGCAACGGUAAGCGAGAGAAGCGUCAGAUCCACUGUGCCGACAGCGGCAUGGGAAGGCGACGCUUGAAGGUCCGGGCCUUGCCCGAAUCCCUCGCAAGCCCGGAGACCGGCCCAGAAAAAAUCAAUGAC
rnacentral:ncRNA from 1 species